AUUGAACGCUGGCGGCAUGCCUUACACAUGCAAGUCGAACGGUAACAGGUCUUCGGAUGCUGACGAGUGGCGAACGGGUGAGUAAUACAUCGGAACGUGCCCGAUCGUGGGGGAUAACGGAGCGAAAGCUUUGCUCAUACCGCAUACGAUCUACGGAUGAAAGCAGGGGACCGCAAGGCCUUGCGCGAACGGAGCGGCCGAUGGCAGAUUAGGUAGUUGGUUGGAUAAAAGCUUACCAAGCCGACGAUCUGUAGCUGGUCUGAGAGGACGACCAGCCACACUGGGACUGAGACACGGCCCAGACUCCUACGGGAGGCAGCAGUGGGGAAUUUUGGACAAUGGGCACAAGCCUGAUCCAGCAAUGCCGCGUGCAGGAUGAAGGCCUUCGGGUUGUAAACUGCUUUUGUACGGAACGAAAAGGCUCUGGUUAAUACCUGGGGCUCAUGACGGUACCGUAAGAAUAAGCACCGGCUAACUACGUGCCAGCCGCCGCGGUAAAAC
rnacentral:rRNA from 1 species